UGCAGUCCACAGUGGCCCCAAGGAACUCCCCAUCCUGACCAGCAUUCCAGCCGUUUUCACUCCAAACCCUGGAAUAGUAAUCAAUUCUGAGAAAACAGGUCCUCCGCUACUGGUGAUGUUGCUGAUUGGGGGCUUUGUGCUCAUUUCCUCUGCUCUACUUCUGCUGGGUUUCCUCUGCCUUAAGAAGAGGAAGACAGCGGUUGAUCAGGACUGCGGCCUUGUAAAAGGUAAACCAUCCAACAGCAC